rnacentral:lncRNA from 1 species
CAGGAGUGUGAGGUAGUUUGCUCAGCACCUUAUGUAUUCAUUUAAUUGUCACGAUGACUUUGUGAAAUUGUGUAAUUAUGGCCAUUCUCCAGAUGUGGCAGCUGAGGCUUUGAGACACACAGCUAGUAAGCGGCAAAACUGGGAUUUCAACUCAGUGCUGUCUGCUUCCAUGAGUUGAACUUCUGCCACCUAGAGUAGCCUGAGCAAAGGACAUGUGGCAACUUGAGCAGAGGGCCAUGAGAGGCCCUCUUUGAAGAGAAGAAAUUAGAGGCAGAGAAACCUGUGUGGGAGUGGCUGUAAAAAUCCAAGAGAAAGAUGGGGGUUGAGGGAUGAAGAGGAAGGUAGGCAUCUGGGAGAUACCGAGCGGAACCUGGGGACUGAUUGGUUCCAGUGGACAAGUGGAGGGAGGAGUCCAAGCUGAUGUCCCAGGAUUUUGCCUGUGUGCUCCAAAAGGAACCCCAAUUAUUAGGUUUUGUAUUUCGUUUUGUUUUUUGUUUUUUGAGAUAGGGUUUCACUCUGUCUCCCAGGCUGGAGUGCAGUGGCGCGAUCAGGGCUCACUGCAGGCUCGACUUCUCCCCAGGCUCAGGUGAUUCUCCCACAUCAGCCUCCUGAGUAGCUGAGACUACAGGUGUGCUCCACCAUGCUCGCUCAUUUUUUGAAAUUUUUGUAGAGAUGGGGUCUUGCCAUGUUGCCCAGGCUGUUCUGGAACUCCUGGGCUCGAGCGAUCCACCCACCUUGGCCUCCCAAAGUGCUCAGAUUACAGGCAUAAGCCACCAUGCCCAGCCUUGGC